UGGAGUGUAGCCAAGUGGUAAGGCAUUGGUUUUUGGUACCGAGAUUCGAAGGUUCGAGCCCUUCCACUCCAG
rnacentral:tRNA from 1 species